GCAUUGGUGGUUUAGUGGUAGAAUUCCCACCUGUCAUGCAGGAGACCUGGGUGCAAUUCCCAGCCAAUGCA